AAAAACAUGCUUUGGGGCUGAAGUCCUUCCUCCCAUUUUACAGAUAAGGACACUGAGGCACAGGCAGGGACAGGACCUGCCCCACUCCUUCAAGUGGGCUCAUGUAGAACAAGCAUCCACUGUGCUGCUCUGGGGCCCUGGACCGUGGUGGCAGCGAUCAAUGAUGAGAACCCAAUACUUCCCAAGUUGGGGACACAGUUGUCCACCUUCAGCGGAGCUGAGACUGGUAAGAUGCCUCUGCACCAGGCAGCACCCUUGACCAGAAUCUCCCAUGACCCGCAGAUGCCAGGCUACCUGUCCCCCAAUCUAUGCUCUGGAACAGCAGGACAGGUGGUGGAGGCUUGGGCCCACACAUAACCCUCACCUUGGCUGCACCCAGCUAUCUGGCCGCCACCCCAUUGUGGGUCCUGCCCACCCCAGCUGUCUUCUCUGCAUCCUCCCACCCUCCAGAGAGGAUCCAAGCCCCACUGAUGACAGAGGACUCAUCUGGCUGCCCCAGAAGCUGCCGCUGGCAAGCGGGAGGCAGGGUAAUUGGUAUCGUGGGCUGCGAGUGCAGGAAAUGAGCGGCCGCAGCCGGCACGGAGCGGGAAGCUACUCAGUGUCACUGGCCUUAUCUAGGAACAGGCUGCCCAAUUACAGGACCGUGCCCGCUACGCCAAGCAGCUGCCGGCUCCUCUGCUGACCCUUCCCGGUGCCCUCGCUGUAUCACCAGGUUGGGGCAUCUGCUGCCCCCCUCCAGAGGUCUGGGGCAACUCUCCAGGGAAGGCUUGACCGACACUGCCCCCUCCCAGGUGUGCAGCCACAGGUGUCCUCUGAAGCCAGCAGGAACAGGUCACCCUGUUCACAUGCCUGCUCAGCUCUCCCAGCAGCUGAAAGAAAGGACUGAUAAUAAUUUUGUGCGUGGACAACACUCCGGCAUCUAUCUGGGAAAUGCAGUCGCUGGGGGCUGCGAUAGGGUGUCAUAUAUUAGGAAAAUAGGACUGUAAUGGGUUUUCAAUUGUACAUAACGCAGCCAGUAUUACAAGAUUACACUGUGUGGUACUUGGUGGCUCACAGAUGGCUAAGGGACGCAAGUCCCAGAAGUGCUGGGCCUCGGGUGUGGCUGGACGGGAGCCGGGAACUGAGUGGUAGCCAGUGCCGAGCUACAGCCCAGACUGGCCGGUGCUGUGAUUUAGGGUCGGCUCCGUCAGUUCAAAUCCUGUGAUUUCUCCCAUAUAUGCUCUGGUUUCCACAUCUGUACAGGAGGGGUGCACCCACCUGACUAUAGGAUUGUGAGAAUUAGCUGAGCUGUACAGAACACGUGCUAAAAAAAAAAAA